AAACCCGCAGGGGCUGGAGAGACAGUUCAGUCCAUAAUGCCCCUUUCUCGCACACACGAGGACCUGGAUUCGAUCCCUAGAACCUAUGGGAAAAGGCUGGAUGUGAAAACCGAAACUACCACCACCAACCAGAAAUAUUUAUUCCAAGAGAAACAAACCAUGUCCUUUCAAAAAGGAGCAAGAAAUGACCUGCUGUCUAUUUGAUCAGGGAGGACACGUGGAAGAAGAAAGCAGUGCAUC